GACGAACGCUGGCGGCGUGCUUAACACAUGCAAGUCGAACGAAGCUUGAUUACGGAUUCUUCGGGUGCAGUAUGAUAUGACUGAGUUGCCGACGGGUGAGUAACGCCUGAGUAACCUGCCCUUCAGAGGGGGAUAGCGUUUGGAAACGAACGGUACUACCGCAUCAUGUAUUUUGACCGCAUGAUCGAAAUACCAAAGAUUUAUCGCUGACGGAUGGACUUGCGUCUGAUUAGGUAGUUGGUGGGGUGACGGCCUACCAAGCCGACGAUCAGUAGCCGGACUGGGAGAUUGACCGGACACAUAGGGACUGAGACACCGCCCAGACACCUACGGGAGGCGGCAGUGAGGAAGAUUGCACAGUGGGCGCAAGCCUGAGGCAGCAACGCCGCGGGAAGGAGGACGGUUGUCGGAAUGUAGACUUCUGUUCUUAGUGAGGAAUAGUGACGGUAGCUAAGGAGCAAGCCACGGCUAACUACGUG
rnacentral:rRNA from 1 species